CGACGUUGUUUACAGGCGCAGGACGACGUCGUCAGAACAAAAAUAGUUCAUUCAUUCAUUCAUUCAUUGAUUCACCUCGAAGCGAGAGGGAGGAAGUCCGGGCGCCUCAGACGGCCGCCCCUGCGCCUCGUGCCCCUCCGAACUCCGGGACGCGGGCGACCGCCGCAGAGCUCGCGAUGGAAGCGCGGCUCGCGCCGCAUGCAAAUACGCGCGCUGACGUAGCCGAUCAUGUGGCUUUUGGCGUAGAUCCCUCCGUGAUCGGGGACCCUGCGCGUGGUUUUUUUUUCCACCGCCGUCGUCGUCUCCGGGAUUCGGACGGAACCUUUAGAAUUGUGUCCUCGCGGCCGGCUCCGCGCGCGGAUUACAAGGAAGAUACGGCCUUUCAGACCCUCACCUUAGGAUCCCCCACCUUCGGAACCCCCCCUUCACCCAACGUCCGAGACCCCCCCCUCCCCGGCGCCGCGGGCAGGUUGGACUGUCUGUGAUGAAGUCCUAUGAAGUCUUCAACUCGAGCUGACACUGGCCGUCAGCAGGAAAUUCCUGAAAGAAGAGUCUAGAAGGCAGUUCUGUCCUUGAAAGCAGACUCCCCGGUCUACAUUACUUGGGUCGACAUCGAGUCCAAGCAUGGCAAGUCGAAGGAAGUCGAGUACUCCUUGCAUGAUCCGAGCCAGCGAUGUGACAGAACAGGACGACUCUGAUGAAAUGGAGGUGCCCGUCAACAGCGCUGCAGAGAACAGCUCGCCCGAUCUGUCCAACUGGUCUUUGGACAAGGACUCCUUGAGUUCAACGGGGGAGGUGAGGGGGGCACCCGAGCAGGCAAAGUCCACAGCAGAGCCUCAACCUCAGCGAAAACAGCAAGGUGGCUACGAGUGCAAGUACUGUCCAUUCUCCACGCAGAACCUGAACGAGUUCAAGGAGCACGUCGAUUCCAGCCACCCCAACGUGAUUCUGAAUCCCCUCUACCUGUGCGCUGUGUGCAACUUCAACACAAAGAAGUUUGACACUCUAACGGAACACAACGAGAAGUGCCAUCCGGGGGAGAGCAACUUCAAGUUCAAACGGAUCAAAGUCAAUAGCCAGACAAUCUUGGAGCAGACAAUUGAAGGUACCAACAGUUCCCUCACUUAUGCUGCCCCUCAAGGUGCGGAGGACUUUGCUACUUUUCCUUUGAAUCGAUCAGUCAACGAGAAGAUCGGCAAGCCAAAAACGGAGAAUAAGCGUUUUUUCCGCAAAGGAGAGGAGCUGGAAAGUAAACUGGACGGGGUUUCCCUGGAGCCGCCCAAGAAGCCAAUUACAGCGCUAAAUGUGAACGGGACGGUGAUUAUCCCAGAAGCCGCUCUUAAAGAAGGACUUUCUCACAUAACGCCCUCCCUCCAGCGCCCGCCCAACUUCAACCUGGUACCAAAAAUUGCCGUCCCUCUGAACACCACCAAAUACAAUCCCUCACUGGAUGGAAACAUGACGCUGAUCACCUCGUUCAACAAGUUCCCCUACCCAACUCAAGCUGAGCUGUCCUGGCUGACAGCAGCGUCCAAGCACCCUGAAGAGCAGAUAAAGGUGUGGUUUACUACCCAGCGGCUAAAGCAAGGCAUCAGUUGGUCCCCAGAGGAGGUAGAGGAGGCCCGUAAAAAGAUGUUCAACGGAACCAUCCAGCCAGUGCAGCAAACAUUUACAGUUGUGCCAGCGCAACUGACCCAGCCAUCCAAAGCAGCACAGCCCCUCCUUCAGACUGUUCCUUGUCAGCUCCUUGGACAGUCUAGCCUGGUGUUGACACCCGUUGCCAACGGGUCGACAGUAACGUGUGCUCCGAUUGCCCUCACAGUCGCCAAUCAGGUGGUGCAAACUUUCAAGCGGCCCUUGCCUGCUUCCACGGCGACCCCCGAGGCAAAGAGGCCAACUAUUAUCCAGUCAGUUCCGGCUCCCCUGAAACCACCUUCCCCUACUGGCAAUUUUAUUUCAGAUCAAAAGAAAACAAGAGAUCAGCUCACGGUGUUGAAGGCCAGCUAUGCUCAGAGCCAGUUUCCCGACGAGAAGGAGGUAUACCGUCUCAUAGAAUCUACCGGGCUUUCCCGGGGCGAGAUCAAAAAGUGGUUCAGUGACCAGCGUUCUCGUAACCAGAGGGGCCCUCUGCACUUGAACAAUGAUGUCUCACCGAAAGACGUGCUUCCAAAGUCAGUUCCCACUCAGUUCCCUCUCUUGGAGAGGGUCAAAGGCAAAUCUUCGGAACAGCUAAAAAUGUUGGAGGAAAGUUUCCAGAAGACCAGCUUCCCAACGCAGGCUGAAGUUGACCACCUGGUGAACGAUACGAGGCUGUCCAAAAAGGAAAUCGACAGCUGGUUUUCGGAGCGGCGAGCCUUGCGGGACAAUUUGGAGCAAGCAUUGCUGAAUUCCAUGGGCUCGAAAAAGGUGGAGGUUGAGGAGCAGAAGCAGCAGCUACAGAGGGGCACGCGCAACGGCGUGCAUGAACAAGAUGCUCCUCCAAAGUCCUCUCCCAUCGCCAUCGUCGCCCCUUGCCCUUCUCCUAUUAACGGAAAGACGCUAGGGCUCCUCCGAGAUGUCUUCACUAAGACCCAGUGGCCAUCGCCGGAGGAGUACAGUCAACUGGAGUCCCAGACAGGCCUGUCUCGCACCGACAUUGUCCGCUGGUUCAAGGACAGCCGGUCAGCCCUCAAGAGCGGAACCUUGGACUGGAUGGAGCAGUUCCAGAAGCUUAGCGGCCAGUGUCGAACGGACCAGAGUUUGCUGCCGAGUUCAGAGAGCAUCCUGCAGAAGUGCUUCCAGGAGGGGAAGAUGCUUCGCGGGGACGACGUAAAGAGGACAUCGGAACGGUCGAAGAUCAGCACCCAGGAGAUCACAGACUGGUUCCCCAGCAAGUUGGGACAGGGCACUGACAAGAGCGGAGUCCAGCACAGACAAGCGAGGGAGGUUCAGGAAAGCUGGGUCACGGUGACAAUGGGGCUGGAUGGGAGCACGGACUUGAGGGAAAAGGUGUUGGCUUCAGACCCUGAUGUGGUGAUCGGGGACAGCACUGGAAGGCUCACAGGAUAACGCGUGUGAGGUAAACCCUGGCAGGAUUUGGCCAGCGCUGCUUUCUUUUCAGGCCCGAUUCUUUUCGGGAUUUGUUGUUUAGACAAUAUUUCCCCUCGGCCCCAGCCCCCUCACCCCCCGAGAAAUGUACCGCAUGAUUUUCCUAGCCUGUGCUGGUACACAAAAUUAUUGGUAAAGUACUGAAUAUUUAUGGAAGGCAGGAGUACAAGUACACCGCAGUUGUUUUUGCAGAACAGUUAGAAUGUCAUUAAGUCAGAUCCUCGUCUGUUGCCGCACAUGUCGGCACUUUGUCGUUCGGUUAAUUGUCCCUUUGGAAAACUGUGUUUGGCAGCGAAAAAGCAAACGUGAAUGAGCUCUGUUUGCUGGAACAGGGCGGCACGUUAUCCGGUAGGGUAGUGACAUUUCCCCGAUGACGUGGCGCGCCUCUCCGCUGCUCUGUGCGCGCUGGUUCGUGAAGCUCCCGCUGUUACCUGACAGCGGGACGUUCUUACAGCACGAGAGGCUCACAAAUCCGUACAAAAAGUACAGUACCAGGGAAAGGGUUGAGCGCACCUGCUGGAAACGAGUUCUUUUUCACGAGGCAUUUGGUGAGCAAGUCUGGUCAGGAAAUGAGCCAAAGUCUUCCCAGCUCUUCUGCAGCACUUCCCAGAGAUGUAGGACACCUGCGUGUUGCUUUGCUUUCACGUUCCUGUCCAGUUUGUCCCAUACAGGUGUUGCCCAGGUUGCCCAGGUGGACUCUCACUUUUCACCGGUGAAGAUGGAGGAAACCGUUAAGUUAUCCAGCGGAAGGGGGAACAAAGGGGACAGAUUCUAUAUUUUUGUACUUGGAGGCGGUGGAGUCAGAGACACGGGAGACCGUGAGCACUCGAAGCGUUGAGCACCCGGCGUCACCAUCCAGUUCUGAAAGCGGACUGUUGCAUUAUAACGUUUAAAAAGGGCCCUUGUAUAUAAUUUUUCUGUAUUGCUACAGAUUUGUACUUUUUUGGCGGGGGGGAUUUUGUUACAUUUGUAAUGACAGUGACAUAUCUCUUUGCGUCGCAUCUUCGUGGUGGAAUUCUCUGCGUUUUGUAUCAGACAUCAAACCACUGCAUCUGUCUGCCGAGAUGUCAUAGCAUCCUGAGCACAGCUCGGUUGUGCUGAUUUUGGUUACACGGAUGUUCUUCAUACCGAAGCCUUGACUGGAGGGGGGUGGCAGUUGAACUCCAGAGGUCUGCGGCACCCUGGCAAGGAGAGCAUUGCUCAACGCCUAUUCUUUCAGACUGCUCUUCUCACACCUUGGAGACAAAGGACCUGUGGUCAUGUUGACCAUGUUACUCCACUGGAGAAAUAAUUGCACCGAAGAUGACACAGAGGCACACAGGACAUGCCUUUUAACACUUUCUUAUUUUUGCGCUGUUUUUUUUUUUUUUUUUCUGGUAGUUGUGGUUUUUGUCUCUCCCUCAUACGAACGCGUCAGAACAGUUUAUUACACAUCGGCUCUGUGGAUAGUCUAGUCACGGAAAGGACUGCAUACAAGCUGCUGCUCUCUGGUGUUCCGCUGCUGCUCUCGUGUCAUGUUCAGACUUGUAUCAAGAAUAGUGUACUGAUAUGGAGUUCCGCUUGCUUUUGUUUUUUUUUUUUUUUUUGUUUUUUUUAAAUUGGUUGCUAUCUUCUUGAGCCCAAUAAAAAGACCCCCCAUUUGAACAUCUUGUCUGAGUUCUGUUGGGUGCAACUUUACUCAGUUUUCCCAAGGUCUAUCAGCAGCUACACAUUUCAUCCUAAAAUACAACACUUUUAUUACUGCAAUUCUUUUGGUUUGAUUUGUAAAAUGAUUGCCCUUACUGGGCACGUUGUAUAUUUGUCGCCCUCUGGCUGUGAAGCAUUUGCGCAGAACAGCCUUUCUAUCAGAAAGAAGUGUAAAUAUAAUGCUCAUUUUUACCCAGUGCUUGAACACGGAGCUCUGCUAAACUCCACUGUGCCUGUUGAUCAAGUGCACUUGGUUUUUCCACCCCGUGACGCCACAUCGGCAGGGAUGUCAA